rnacentral:rRNA from 1 species
UACGAAGGGGGCUAGCGUUGUUCGGAAUUACUGGGCGUAAAGGGCGCGUAGGCGGUGUGUCAAGUCAGGCGUGAAAGCCCCGGGCUCAACCUGGGAACCGCGCUUGAGACUGGCACGCUAGAGUUCGGGAGAGGAUGGUGGAAUUCCCAGUGUAGAGGUGAAAUUCGUAGAUAUUGGGAAGAACACCGGUGGCGAAGGCGGCCA